UACAGAGGUCCCAAGCGUUGUUCGGAUUCAUUGGGCGUAAAGGGUGCGUAGGUGGCACCGUAAGUCGGGUGUGAAAUUUCGGAGCUUAACUCCGAAACUGCAUUCGAUACUGCGGUGCUUGAGGACUGGAGAGGAGACUGGAAUUUAUGGUGUAGCAGUGAAAUGCGUAGAGAUCAUAAGGAAGACCAGUGGCGAAGGCGGGUCUCUGGACAGUUCCUGACGCUGAGGCACGAAGGCCAGGGGAGCAAACGGG
rnacentral:rRNA from 1 species